rnacentral:rRNA from 1 species
AACGAACGUUAGCGGCGCGCUUAACACAUGCAAGUCGUGCGAGAAAGGGGCAACCCCGGUAAAGCGGCGCACGGGUGAGUAACACGUAGAUAAUCUACCCUCAGGUGGUGGAUAACCUUCCGAAAGGAGGGCUAAUACAGCAUGAGACCACGACCCCGAAAGGGGAUGAGGUCAAAGCCGGCCUCUUCAUGAAAGCUGGCGCCAGAGGAUGAGGCUGCGGCCCAUCAGCUAGUUGGUAGGGUAACGGCCGACCAAGGCGAAGACGGGUAGCUGGUCUGAGAGGAUGAUCAGCCACACUGGAACUGAGACACGGUCCAGACUCCUACGGGAGGCAGCAGUGGGGAAUCUUGCGCAAUGGGCGAAAGCCUGACGCAGCGACGCCGCGUGAGUGAUGAAGGCCUUCGGGUUGUAAAGCUCUGUGGAGGGGGACGAAUAAGUCGUGGCCAACAUCCACGAUGAUGACGGUACCUCUUUAGCAAGCACCGGCUAACUCUGUGCCAGCCGCCGCAGUAACAC